UGCAUGCCUGACUGUAAGUCGGUUUGGAUAAAAGCGUGUGCUAAAUGGCAUAUA
rfam:Salmo salar isolate Sally breed double haploid chromosome ssa06, whole genome shotgun sequence.